rnacentral:rRNA from 1 species
AUGACCAUUAACAAGGCACAGGGUCAAACCAUCCCAAAUGUCGGUAUUUACCUUCCAGAACCUGUUUUCUCACAUGGCCAACUAUAUGUUGCAUUCUCAAGGGGUGUCUCAAGAAAGACGACACAGAUUUUAGCCAAGCCUAACAAGGAGGUUGAUAAAUCUGAGAAAAGCACCAAAAACAUUGUCUAUAGAGAUGUUUUAGAGGGGUUUUCAUAA